rnacentral:rRNA from 1 species
CCUACGGGGGGCACCAGUGGGGAAUAUUGGACAAUGGGCGAAAGCCUGAUCCAGCAAUGCCGCGUGUGUGAAGAAGGUCUUCGGAUUGUAAAGCACUUUCGACGGGGACGAUGAUGACGGUACCCGUAGAAGAAGACCCGGCUAACUUCGUGCCAGCAGCCGCGGUAAUACGAAAGGGGCUAGCGUUGCUCGGAAUGACUGGGCGUAAAGGGCGCGUAGGCGGUUUAUGCAGUCAGAUGUGAAAUCCCCGGGCUUAACCUGGGAACUGCAUUUGAGACGCAUAGACUAGAGGUCGAGAGAGGGUUGUGGAAUUCCCAGUGUAGAGGUGAAAUUCGUAGAUAUUGGGAAGAACACCGGUGGCGAAGGCGGCUACCUGGCUCGAUACUGACGCUGAGGCGCGAAAGCGUGGGGAGCAAACAGGAUUAGAUACCCUAGUAGUC